rnacentral:tRNA from 3 species
GGCCCGGUGGCUCAGUUGGUUAGAGCGCCGCCCUGUCACGGCGGAGGUCGUCGGUUCGAGUCCGAUCCGGGUCG